GCCAGGGUAGCCUAGUGGACAUGGCAUCUGCCCGGUAAGCGGAACACAGUGGGUUCGAUUCCCAUCCCUGGACA
rnacentral:tRNA from 1 species